rnacentral:misc_RNA from 1 species
GAAAUGCGAUAAGUAAUGUGAAUUGCAGAAUUCAGUGAAUCACCGAAUCUUUGAACGCACAUUGCGCCCGCCAGUAUUCUGGCGGGCAUGCCUGUUCGAGCGUCAUUUCAACCAUCAAGCCCCCGGCUUGUGUUGGGGACCUGCGGCUGCCCGCAGGCCCUGAAAAACAGUGGCGGGCUCGCUGUCACACCGAGCGUAGUAGCAUACAUUCUCGCUCAGGGCGUGCUGCGGGUUCCGGCCGUUAAACGACCUUCAUAACCCAAGGUUGACCUCGGAUCAGGUAGGAAGACCCGCUGAACUUAAGC